CAACGUGCUCUCAGUGCCCUUUCUUCUCCUCGCCUCAUCACCGUCAUCAAUCCCCUCAGGCUUCCCUCCGGCCGUCGCCCGGCCCUCCCGUGAUCCUUAGACGAGCUUAGGGCGGCACUGAUCAGCUCGGGUUUCCUCCAGAUUGCAACAGCGGGUGCGAGUGCGUCACAGCUCCCAACUUGGCACAAGGGCUAACGAUGCUCCUGACCCCGCGACAGCAGGAGGGCAACGCUCUCGCUCCACUCGCCUGCCACCGACACCGACGGUGGCGUUAGGGCCACGGGUCAGACUUUCUCCUCACAUGCCGGACUGGAUGGAGGAGAAGGGCGGCAAUGAAAAAGCCCCGCAGUGCUUUAGUGUGAUGACACUAAAUUGCAUUUGUCUUAGUUACACACCCCGAUGAUGAAACGCUAAAUUCACAUUUAUGUUAGUUGUGUUGCGGGACACGAGUCUGAUACGACGUCAGGUUACUUCUAAAUUUGCAUCUUAUAGAAUAUGUUAGAAUUGAUCAUUUUCGAAUUCAUUUUUCGUUUUACUUUAGAAUUGUCCAUGUCUGUAUGUGAUACUUUGUUGUAGCGCGUCCUUAAAUUUGUCGAAUAUGUGACGUGACCAUUUCUAUUGCCAUGUGAAAUGACAGCACACCGUCGCGUCUUGGCGACGUCACGUGUGGGCGACGUCCCCACGGGAACUUUUGCAGGUGGCUGCUUCCAAAGUGCUCUUUUCGCCCAUUUGUUCGACCUGACUGAUCAGAUUCCCGUUCCACAAAUGACAUGGAUGGUGAGCGAGCCCAGCGUUUCGUCCGAAGAACAUGUCACAUGCUGCAAGGAUCCCCCUGUGCGGUAGGAGGCGCUGUAGCCUGCUUACACUCACAACUUUCUUUUUUGAAAACGUAUUUUACCCUGUAUUACUUUGAGAUUGCCGAAAGGGAAAGUUCAAAUAAGAUUCAUGACUAUGACGUAUUUGACAGGAAAUAUAACAAUACUCGCAGACGUAUAUUAUUUAUCCUCUGUGAAAAGCAACUAAAAUGACUGACGCCUCUCCUUCAUGUCAACCAGUAUUUCUGUAUUAUAAAAUUUAAUGAGUGCUCUUUAAAAAAAAUGCACAAAUGAUUGUUUUUAUGGUAGGCUGAAACUGAUUACGAGCAGAUCGAGAAUUUGAAAUGGAGAUACGGGCAGAGCAUAAUUUAUUGCUAAUUAAAACCCUUGCGGAUCCCGCUUUUUGAACCGCCGAUGUGAAUCAAUAUUUGACCACGCGCUAACACAUUUUUGGUCAUGGGUACAAGGAUCAUGUUGUUACGCCGGCUCGCAGUGUGAGUGACCGUCACGUGUUUCGGGGGGGUAAAAGUGUUGGCGCUGACGUGGCUGAGUAAACCCGUUAAGCGAGGAAACUCCCGUCCCUCUUACGUCAAUGGCUCCUAAUUCCUGCUGCUCGGCGGGCGCGGAUCAAGGCGAACGCGCAGAGAGGCAGAUGGCCGCGUGAUUAAAAUUCAAGCGGGUGACGCGGGGAGGCUGUGACCCCCGAGCGAGUGGCGUCGAUGCUCUUUGGCGUUUCAUGUCGUGCGCGUGCAUUGGCGAUUGACGGCGUGGAGGUCGUUGGCAAGUGGGAGAAGCUCGUUAUCGCAUGUCUGGAGGACUUAAAGGAUGACAUGUCGAACAAAGAGUCACGUGGCUCAGAUGUGCGAGUUAAUCUCGACAUUGUGGUGUUCAUGAAAAAAAAAGAGAUACAUUUGCAUAGACCGUAUGGAAUAUUCAUGUCUUAAUGUUCCCCUGGCCGCAAGCAUUCCAAUGAAUUUUGACGUGAAACUAACUGACACUUAAAUUCACCGGCCGGUGGCAAAUUUUGCUCUCCGAUUGUGAACCAAAGAGCACAAUUCCACCGUCAAUCAUCUCUCCGAGCACGCCAUUCAUUAGACGCGCCCGUCGACAGCUGGCGUAUUAAAAAGGAGUAAUGGCGAUUGGCUAUUGUGUUGCCGGGUGUAGCCUUUUGGUUUGAUGACAAUGAAUCAAAAAAAAAAAACAAAAAACCCUCCCCCGCUUGCUAAUGAGCAUUUUACAUGGUGUCUGCUGUGGGCCUCUCCGUUUCCAGGGGCAGUCUUUUACCGGUUGCCAGGCAACCUCGUGAGGAGACAAUCCAGCAAAAAAAAAAAAAAAAAAAGGUGAAUUUCUUGUAUGGAUAUCUUACGAGCUGUUUGAACAGGUCAAGUCAUUAACAUGGAACCGUCUUUGGGUUGCCAACCUCCUCCCCGAUAAUCUUUGCGGCCAUGCGCCAAUAUUGUCAGUCAAACAACAUCUAAGCCAGAGGUUAAGACUUGAGAAUCGACAGCGUGGUGCAGAAGCGCUCUUUUUUUUUGCUGGUUUGUUUGUUUUUGCCUCUGACAGGAAGGCCCGGCAGGCUGCUGAGCGGAGGUGCAACGCUUGGCCUCUGUGUUGCAACAUUUAUCGACUGCGCAGAGAGCAUCUGACAGGGUGGACCCAAGGCCGUUUCACGCAACUGCCGUCAACAAACGGGAGCCAUAUGGCCGUCGGGGUGGACACAUCUUUGAGGGCGUUCUCAUCGGGCUCAGUGAAAGACAAAGGUGAAAGGGGGGGAAAAAAGAGAGCAGAGGCAAGGUGAAGAUGGCAUGGUGCAACGAUGCCCGUGACUGCUCUUCAUCUCAUAAUCAAGCGGCGACCCUGACAAAAAAGAUGGGAUUGAUGGCAGCAUACCUGUCCAGUUCAUUGGCGUGAAAAGUGCGGUGCGCCACCUGUGAGUAUCGAUCUUUUUGGAACGGCUUCUGUAAAAUCCUCAUGUUUUACCUUUUAAGUCUGCUUUCGGAGGUUUCACCUUGUCUCUCAUCGUCACUGAAAUCCGAGUCGUAGUUGGCACCGGCACCGUGCACCUUUG